rnacentral:rRNA from 1 species
UUAAUACUGGAUAGAUCAAAGAUACUGGAAUGUUCUCUGGUCGAAAGCUCCGGCGCCCAAGGAUGGGUCUGCGGCCUAUCAGGUAGUAGUGGGUGUAACGUACCUACUAGCCUACGACGGGUAAGGGUUGUGAGAGCAAGAGCCCUGAGAUGGAUUCUGAGACAUGAAUCCAGGCCCUACGGGGUGCAGUAGGCGCGAAAACUUUACACUGCGGGCAACCGCGAUAAGGGGACCCCGAGUGCCAGCACCUAGUGCUGGCUGUCCAGCUGUUCAAAAAACAGUUGUUAGCAAGGGCCGGGCAAGACCGGUGCCAGCCGCCGCGGUAACACCGGCGGCCCGAGUGGUAGCCGUUAUUAUUGGGUUUAAAGGGUCCGUAGCCGGCCUAUUAAGUCUCUUGGGAAAUCUGGCGACUCAAUCGUCAGGCGUUCA